rnacentral:tRNA from 1 species
AGGGGCGUAGCUCAAUUGGUAGAGUACCGGUCUCCAAAACCGGAUGUCGUGAGUUCAAUUCUCUCCGCCCCUGCCA